GACGAACGCUGGCGGCGUGCUUAACACAUGCAAGUCGAACGGAAAGGCCCUGCUUUUGUGGGGUGCUCGAGUGGCGAACGGGUGAGUAACACGUGAGUAACCUGCCCUUGACUUUGGGAUAACUUCAGGAAACUGGGGCUAAUACCGGAUAGGAGCUCCUGCUGCGUGGUGGGGGUUGGAAAGUGUCGGCGGUUGGGGAUGGACUCGCGGCUUAUCAGCUUGUUGGUGGGGUAGUGGCUUACCAAGGCUUUGACGGGUAGCCGGCCUGAGAGGGUGACCGGCCACAUUGGGACUGAGAUACGGCCCAGACUCCUACGGGAGGCAGCAGUGGGGAAUAUUGCACAAUGGGCGGAAGCCUGAUGCAGCAACGCCGCGUGCGGGAUGACGGCCUUCGGGUUGUAAACCGCUUUCGCCUGUGACGAAGCGUGAGUGACGGUAAUGGGUAAAGAAGCACCGGCUAACUACGUG
rnacentral:rRNA from 1 species